rnacentral:tRNA from 1 species
ACCUGGCUGGCUCAGUUGGUGGAGCAUGAGACUCUUGAUCUCCGAGUUGUGAGUUUGAGCCCCACAGCAGGUA